AGCAGUAAGGAAUAUUGGUCAAUGGAGGGAAGUCUGAACCAGCCAUGCCGCGUGCAGGAUGACUGCCCUAUGGGUUGUAAACUGCUUUUGUCAGGGAAUAAACCUUUCCACGUGUGGGAAGCUGAAAGUACCAGAAGAAUAAGGAUCGGCUAACUCCGUGCCAGCAGCCGCGGUAAUACGGAGGAUCCAAGCGUUAUCCGGAUUUAUUGGGUUUAAAGGGUGCGUAGGCGGUCUAUAAGUCAGUGAUGAAAGACGGCAGCUUAACUGAAGCAGUGCCUUUGAUACUGUAGGACUUGAGGGUAGGUGAGGUGAAAAUAAUAAGACAAGUAGCGAUGAAAUGCGUAGAUAUGUCAAACACCCCGAUUGCGAAGGCAGCUCACUAAGUUAGUAUUGACGCUGAUGCACAAGAGCGUGGGCAUCACGGGGGAUUAGCCACCCUGGUAGUCCACGCCCUAAACGAUGAUAACUCGAUGUGUGCGAUACACAGUCAGUGUCGAAGCGAAAGCG
rnacentral:rRNA from 1 species